AUUCGCGACACGGCACCAGAGGGUGUGAGGGUAAAUUAUACAGCCUUCUGUCCUGAUGGAGUACAAAUUGGAUCAAGGACUUGCGCUAAUGUUCAGAUUGGACAAAAGGUGUCAUUUGAGGUCUCGGUCACCAUUGAAGAUUGUAAUCUUAAGGAAAAGAG